rnacentral:rRNA from 1 species
AACGUAGGAGACAAACGUUAUCCGGAGUUACUGGGCGUAAAGGGCGUGCAGGUGGUCUGUUAAGUCUGGCGUGAAAGCUCUCGGCUAAACCGGGAGAGGUCGUUGGAUACUGGCGGACUAGAGGACGGUAGAGGCGAGUGGAAUUCCGGGUGUAGUGGUGAAAUGCGUAGAGAUCCGGAGGAACACCAGUGGCGAAGGCGACUCGCUGGGCCGUACCUGACACUAAAACGCGACAGCAUGGGGAGCGAACGGG